GAGAAGGGCAUCUCGCCUAAUGUUGUCACAAGCAACAUAUUGAUAGAUGGAUAUUGCUCGCAUGGCGAGAUGGUUAGAGCUAGAGAGCUCUUCAACUCUAUGGCAAAGAUGGGGAUCAAGCACGAUAUAUUCACCUACGAUAUCUUGAUUAAGGGAUAUUAUUGUAUGGAAUCUGGUGAAGAGCAAAAAGGUGCAUGAGGCGAUUCCUUUCUUGGAGGAGAUGUGCAGGAGAGAAUUCGUGGUUAAUUCCGAUAUCAUUUAUGCUUUGCAUGAUGAACUAAGAAUUAGAGAAGGUAAAGAUGAGAAAUUGCAAGAGAUUGUUAAGAAAGUUUGUGCUCAAAAUUUAGAGAGGUCUCAAUCUAUCUCAGUUUUCUUUUGUCUCUAACGCUCGGAUUAUUCAAGGGCUUGCGAUGUUGGUAUAUUACAAGGUACUUUUGCUUUUAGCAUUGUAAAUGCAAAUGCUUUUGUGGAUGUUUGCAUUUAUUGCUAAUAAUUUUGCUUUUGGCAUUGUAAUUUUUCUUGGAGAUGUUUACAACUUGAAUUGAUGUUUAAAUCUUGAGAAAUUGUGCAAAUCAUGAUAUCCUCUCCUCUCACACACAUUUAAAGUGAAUUUCCUUUUGGGUGCGUUCUCUUUGGUUGUAAAUUUAUCAUUGGAAAAUGAGGGAUAAACAAAAUUUCACCUUUUAAAUCCUUCAUUUCUUUUCCCUUAUUUCCUACAAAAUAGAAUUUGACCCUUACUCAUUCCUCAUUUUCACUACAAAGGAGGGAUAAAACUUAUGCCUUUCAACUCUUCGAGUGAAUGAAAUCCUUCUAUUGCAACCACUUCAUCUUCAUGAGAGAUACUCAACUCGAGGUAUUCAUAGUAACACGGAUAAGACAUGCCUACUUCAACAUGACUAGACUAACAACAAUAACAAAUACCUGACUUAUGCUGCGAGCCACAAGGCAUAAGCUCGAAGGAGAAGAAAAACCAGGACUCGUCACCGGCUCUGGAUAGAUGUUAACCAUCGAUUGAACACCAGAUAUAUCUGUCCAUUAUCUGCAAGCACUUAUAACAUGUAAAUCAACUGGACUUCUUACCAUAAUCCUCUUUUCCAUUAAGGAUUUAAGUCAGAAUGAGCAACAAAUGAAAAACAGUGUCCAUCUGUUCCAUAAUCCUCAGGAAACUUCUUACCAUGAAAUUUUACAUUCAUAUGCAUAGCCUUAAGGGCUGAACUAAGGACACUAUUACAAGGAUGCCCUAACCUAGCAUGCCACAGGCUUACAUCAGGGAAAGAAUGGGCUACAAGGCAGUUGACUGGAGAUCUAGUAUAGUAAGGAAGAGAUGAGAGCAAUUCGAGAUAGACACUAUUAUCAUAUGUUAACUGAGAUAUGCUUAGAAGGCUUUUAGUAAAUCAACAUUUUUUUCUCCAGCCGCUAGGGUUCCCUAGGGUUUCUUUAAGGUUGAGAGAAUUGACGUUCGCUUUUAGCGCUGUUCUUCCCUCGAUUCGUAGGGAUUGCUGUUUGGUCAGCGGGGUGAUUUCCGGAUCAUGGAUCCAGAGGAGAUUCAACGUUUGGUGGAACAACUUCAGUUAUCAGAGGAGGCUGAGGCAAAUACUGUUAAUCUUUCUCAAGAACUCACGGAAGAUCUUUUGGUUACUUCAAAGUAUCGGCUUGCGGGGAAAGUUUUUGCGAGCAGACAGAUUAAUAGAGAUCUUUUGCUAACUCAAUUGCCUAAUAUUCUUCAGGCAAAAUGUCGGAUUGAUGCAGAGAUUAUUGGACCGAAUAUAUUUGUUAUCCAUUUUGCUUCGGUGGACGAUAAUAAACAAGCUUUGUUAGGGGGGCCUUGGCACUUCUUUCAGGAUUUAUUAUUAUUUGCUGAGAUAGAGGGUUUCCAAAAUCCUUCAGAGGUGAAGUUUGAGGAGUUUACGGGAUGGAUACAAUGUCAUAAUCUACCUGUGGCGUGCAUGCAUCCGGAGGUGAUAAGGAAGAUUGGGGAGGGCAUCGGCCGUGUGGAGGAGGUUGAUAUGAAUGCAGGAGGACGAUGUAUUGGCCGCUUUGCUAGGGUAAGGGUCUCAUGGGCAUUAGAUAAACCCAUGCAGAGAUGCGUGAGACUUCUACCUAAUGGAGAGAGGGAGGGUGCUAUUAUAUUACUUUUAUAUGAGAAGUUACCAAAUUUUUGCUUUAAAUGUGGGAAAAUUGGACAUUUAUUAAGGUUUUGUGAUUCUCCGUUGACGGUAACGGGGCAAUUGAAGUAUGGCAUGUGGUUAAUGGCUCCAAAAACCAAUGAGAUCCGGAGAAAGCAGACCAAUGGCAAUAAAGCUAAUGCUGACUUGGGUGAUUCGCAUCUGUUGGCAGUGAAUAAAGGAUUAGUUGCGAGACCAUCACAACAGACUGAGGGGUCUUGCUCCAAGGAGAGUUCGUCGCUGGGGGUUGAAGAUGAGAUACCUAUCAAAGAUAUUGUUCCCAAUACUGCUAUUUUGGAAGAGGAUAGAGAUAGUGUGAUGGAUGGGGUUCUGGUGGAAGCUGUAACGGGAGGAGAGGAGAGGCGAGAUGAGCAGAUGGAGGAGGAGGAGGUUAGGAGAGGUUCUAGCUCUAAUCCGAAAGUGGGUUCGUGGAAGAGGAGAGCUCGUGUUUCGGGUUGGGGGUCGGAGGGGAGGGGUCGUAGGGGAGGGAGAGUUGGUAGAGGAAGAUCUGGAGAGGACGGGAGACAAAAUGACGGGGGAAUUUCUUCUGGGAACGAGGGAGCUAGGAUUCGGGAAGAGCUAGAGAGGGGGACUGAAGGUGGAGGUUUAGAUGAAGAGGAAGUUUCAAGCUUCUCUAAGAAACGACCGGGGAGUGCCGUGUGUGAUGCGGGCUCGGACUCCCCAAAAUGAAAGAUUCCGCGUCAUGAUAUGGAGAAUACUUUAGAGCUGGCAAUAACGGCGGAGGCUGCCUCGCAGCCCCGCCGAGCCCAAUGAAUGCGGUAAUCUGAAAUGCUCGAGGCCUGGGCACACCUCGCGCAUUCCAUAAUCUUCGCCAGUUAGUAUCUGGCGUGUCUCCAAGCAUACUUUUCAUAUCUGAGGCAAAAGUGUGUGCGGCCAAAUGUGUUAAUUGGAAGGUGAUUCUAGGGUUUGAGGGACAUUUUGUGGUAAACCCCGUUGGAGCGAGCGGGGGUCUUAUGUUGUUCUGGAAGAAUGAGUGUGAAGUGAGUAUCAGGAGUUUUUCAAAGGGCCACAUUGAUUGUUGGGUUAAGAGUGAUAGUUUUGGUUUUCGGUUUACGGGUUUUUUAUGGAAAUCCUGAUGGGAAUAAACGUCAACAGUCUUGGGAACUUAUUAAAAGAUUGGCGGAGAUUGGUGAUGCCUCUUACCCUUGGAUUGUUGGAGGGGAUUUUAGUGAGAUUUUGAAGCAGGAAGAGAAGGAAGGAGGGAAACGAAAAAAUUGGUCGUGUUUAUCUACCUUCCGAGCUGCGAUUGAGGCAAGCGGAUUAAAGGCCAUUGUCAAUGACGCUCGCUUCACCUGGUUUAAUCAAAGAGAGGGGGAGGCAGCCAUCUUUGAGUUGCUGGACAGGUUCUUUAUAAAUGAAUCGGGUCUUUUGGCAGUGGGAAAUUGUGAGGCACAAGUGCUGGACUCGUACGGAUCAGAUCAUAGAGCAGUGAGGGUGAGGUUGGAGAAGCAGGAUAAGUGUCAAUCCACCGGGGGCUAUAAAAGGUUCCAUUUUGAGCAGAAAUGGAUGUUGGCGGAGAAUUUUACAGCUGAUAUUCUUAUGAACUGGAGGGGUUUUGGUAGUCAUUCUUUGCCAAAGCGGCUUGCCUUAUGCCAGCAAUAUCUCAAAAAAUGGGUGGAUUCUGAGUACAAAAACCCUUCGAAGACGCUUGAGGAGUUAAGGAAGAAAAGGAUCAAGCUGUUGAAUCAGUGCGGAGAUAAAGAUGUGGGGAAGGAGCUACAUGAGAUUAAUAUGAAAAUUGAGAGGAUUUCGGAGGCGGAGGAAAUACAUUGGAAGCAAAGGUCAAGAGCGAAUUGGCUGGGAUUGGGGGACAGGAAUACGAAGUAUUUUCACAACUUCGCCUCAGAAAGAAAGAGGAAAAAUAGAAUUGAAGGCUUGUUUGAUUCGAGGGGCGUUUGGCAGACUAAGGAUGAGAACAAGGCAAGUAUUAUUCAGCAAUAUUUCAAGGAACUCUUUCGGUCGGAUAAGCCUAGGGCUGAGGAUAUUUCGGCGAUUACUAGCUGUGUUAAAAGCAGAUUUCAACAGGCAGAUGUUGCUGUUCUUCAAGAACCUUUUACUAAAGAGGAAGUACGGAAAGCAAUCUUUCAGAUGAAUCCGAAUAAAGCCCCGGGACCUGACGGGUUUCCACCUAUUUUUUUCCAGAAGUAUUGGGGAGAGAUUAGGUUCCAUUACUAAAGAGGUUCUGGGUAUUCUCAAUGGUGAUGAUAGUGUUAGAGAGUGGAACAAGAGUUUGAUAGUCCUUAUUCCGAAAGUUAAAAAGCCUAAGCACGUUUGUGAUUUUCGGCCUAUUAGUUUAUGUAAUACCACUUAUAAGAUUGUGGCUAAAGUGGUGGCUAAUCGGUUGAGAAGAGUGUUGGGAAAGGUUAUUGAUGAUAACCAGAGUGCUUUCGUACCCGAGCGGUUGAUCACAGACAAUAUCUUAGUGGGCUAUGAAUGUAUGCAUUGGCUUAAAAAUCAAAAGAAUGGGAAACAUGGCUUUGCGACAGCAAAACUGGAUAUGAGGAAAGCCUAUGACAGAGUGGAGUGGGGCUUUAUAAAGGCCAUGAUGCAGGUGAUGGGGUUUCCUAGUAGAUUGAUGCGGGUGGUGAUGGAUUGUAUAACCUCGGUGGAUUUUGCUUUUGUGGUGAAUGGAAAGGUGUAUGGUUCUUUGAUCCCUACGAGGGGUAUUCGCCAAGGAUGCCCGUUGUCACCUUUCUUAUUUGUUAUCUGCGCGCAAGGGUUGUCAUCGAUUCUCCAUGAAUAUACGAGAAGGAAAGAGUUCGAAGGGUUACGGGUUGCUAAGGCCAGUCCGGCAAUAAGUCAUCUCUUCUUCGCGGAUGAUAGCCUUCUCUUUUUUAGAGCUAAUGCUAAGGGGGUGGAUGCUAUCAGAGAUGCUAUUGAUCUAUAUUCUGUGGCUUCGGGGCAACAGAUUAAUAAGGAUAAAUCUGCUGUUACAUUUAGCCCGUGUACUCUGGAGAGUGAUAGGGAGGUGGUGGCGAAAACUUUGGGCAUAGGCCAGACCAAAGGACAUUCUGUAUAUUUAGGUCUUCCUACGAUCGUGAUGAAGCAGAAGAGGAUUCAAUUUGAUUACCUACGUGAAAGGGUCUGUAAGAAGCUUGGAUCGUGGAAAAAUAAGCAUUUUUCAAUGGGUGGUAGAGAAGUCCUCCUUAAAUCAAUUAUACAGGCGAUCCCUACUUACGCCAUGAAUUGUUUUAAGAUUCCUGUUGCUGUUUGCAGAGAUAUGGAGAAGGCUAGUGCUAAUUUUUGGUGGGGUAUGACUGAAAAAGGUCCAAAUAUGCAUUGGGCAAAAUGGCAGUCGCUUUGCUCUCUGAAGUCGAAAGGUGGGAUGGGUUUUCGAGAUUUGGUCGCUUUUAACAAGGCACUACUAGCUAAACAGGUGUGGCGAUUGAUCAAGUUCCCUAACUCGCUGGUGGCUAGGGUGCUUAAAGGACGCUAUUAUAAGGAUGGGGACGUGUUGAAUGCUACCUGCCCUUCGACGACUUCCUAUUCUUGGCGAUCGAUUUUGUGGGGAGGAGAUCUGGUGAGACGUGGAGUGAGGUGGAAGAUUGGUAAUGGGAAAAGUGUGAGUGCUUUUAAGGAUGCUUGGAUUCCUAAUGGGGGAGAUGGUAUAGCUGCCGGAGGGAUGGUGAAGGAUGAAAGUAUUUUGGUUGCUGAGUUCAUUGAUGAAAAUAAACGUUGGAAGGAGGAGCUUUUGAAGGAAAAUUUUCUCUCUUAUGAGGUACAGAGUAUUAUGUCUAUGGAUUUAUCAAGAAAUGAGAAAGAUGAUAGAUUUUGGAUACAUGAUGAGAAAGGGAGAUAUACUGUAAAAUCUGGAUAUCUACUUGAGAAGGAAUGUUUUUUGCCGAAUGCUAACACGACUUCAGAAGUUGUUGAAGAUUGGUGGAAGUUUGUUUGGAAACUUUUUAUUCCACCGAAGGUUAGGGUUUUUGCAUGGAGAUUUAUGAAGAAUAUGUUGCCUACUGCUAUAAACUUGAAGAAUCAUCAUAUUCCCAUUAAUGGUAUAUGCUCCUGGUGCAAAAGGGAUUGGGGCUCGAUGACUCAUUCAAUCAUUUUCUGCGAGUCAGUGCGAGGGGAAUGGAAGAAGACCAAAUGGUGGUCGUGGCUGAGAGGUAGAGAAAAUCUUGAUAGUGAGUCACUUUGUAGGGAAUUUUUGGCUGGUUUUGGAGUUGAGGAUCUGGAGCAGUUUGUUAUCUUUCUUUGGUGGAGUUGGAAGAAUCAAUGUGAUGUUAAACAUGGCAAUAAGGCUGCUGGAACGAUGGAGCUUAUCGAAAGUGGCGAGGUUUUUCUGAGUAUGUUCCAGGAGGCAACCUGCAAGACGAGAACGCAGCAGUCGAUUCUGCCGAAGGAAGGAGAUAAGUGCUGGCAUCCGCCGUGCUGUGGUUCUUUUCGGUUGGAUGUGGAUGUCUCAAUCCAUGCGAAUGGAAAUGUGGAUGGAGUUGGUUUUCUGGUUCGGGAUUAUACAGGCAAGGUGUUAGCGGCGGCUGCGAGACGCAUUGGAAGAACGGAAACCAUUCUUAUGGGCGAACUGCACUCGAUCUUGUUGGGUGUGGGUUUCUGCAUGGAGCAUGAUUUUUGUCCUCUUGAGGUCUUUACGGAUUCACUCUUGGCGGUGCACGUUUUGAGCGAGAAAACGAGGGGGAUGGACUCGCUUUGUGAUGACCUUUAUGAUGCUUUUAUUUAUAUCAAGGAGAAGAUAGUGCUUGAUUUUAGACAUGUUCGUAGGGAAGCUAAUAGAGCGGCCCAUUUCUUGGCUAAUUUAGCCGUUUGUAUUCCNUAUGCGAUGUUGGUAUAUUACAAGGUAAUUUUGCUUUUAGCAUUGUAAAUGCAAAUGCUUUUGUGGAUGUUUGCAUUUAUUGCUAAUAAUUUUGCUUUUGGCAUUGUAAUUUUUCUUGGAGAUGCUUACAACUUGAAUUGAUGUUUAAAUCUUGAGAAAUUGUGCAAAUCAUGAUAUCCUCUCCUCUCACACACAUUUAAAGUGAAUUUCCUUUUGGGUGCGUUCUCUUUGGUUGUAAAUUUAUCAUAUGAAAACGAGGGAUAAACAAAAUUUCACUUUUUAAAUCCUUCAUUUCUUUUCCCUUAUUUCCUAUAAAAUAGAAUUUGACCCUUACUCAUUCCUCAUUUUCACUACAAAUGAGGGAUAAAACUUAUGCCUUUCAACUCUUCCAGUGAAUGAAAUCGUUCUAUUGCAACCACUUCAUCAACAUGACUAGACUAACAACAAUAAAAAAUACCUGACUUAUGCUGCGAGCCACAAGGCAUAAGCUCGGAGGAGAAGAAAAACCAGGACUCGUCACCGGCUCUGGAUAGAUGUUAACCAUCGAUUGAACACCAGAUGUAUCCUGUCCAUGUAUUUGCAAGCACUUAUAACAUGUAAAUCCAACUGGACUUCUUACCAUAAUCCUCUUUUCCAUUAAGGAUUUAAGUCAGAAUGAGCAACAAAUGAAAAACAGUGUCCAUCUUUUCCAAAAUCCUCAGGGAAACUUCUUACCAUGAAAUUUUUACAUUCAUAUGCAUAGCCUUAAGGGCUGAACUAAGGACACUAUUACAAGGAUGCUCUAACUUAGCAUGCCACAGGCUUACAUCAGGGGAAGAAUGAGCUACAAGGCAGUUGACUGGAGAUCUGGUAGAGUAAGGAAGAUAUGAGAGCUUUGUGAAGUCCAAGUGAUAGAGAUCAUUUUUAAGUCUGUCUUCCGGUAGGGUUUGAUGUGUAAUAUUGUCCUUGACAAAACAAAAGUUGGAGUGAAAUUCGAGAUAGACACUAUUAUCAUAUGUUAACUGAGAUAUGCUUAGAAGGCUUUUAUUAAUGUGUGGAACAAAUAAGAUGUUGUUGAGAGAGAGAGUUUUGGAAGAAGUAGUGCAAGGUAAUGUUUAACUGAUACUUGACUUUAGUGUCAUGACUUUAGUAUCAGUUCGCUGAAUCCACGUGGCUCGCAUUAAAUAAUCAGUCGUAACUCAUUCUUGGACUGGUUAGUCAUAUAUCAGUAAUUGACUUUGCCUUAAUCGUCACAUAGUCGGCAACUUCAGUCUUCAGUUCUCCGACUUCAGUCUUCAGUCUUCAGUCUUCAGAACAACAACUAAACUAGAAAAGAACUCUAACACUUGAUUUCGAACAGUUCUAGUUUAUUACAAGUGAAACCUAUUAAUUUUGGUAUCAUCAAAACUAGGAUUAAGAUAUUUCAUUAAGUUCCCAACAAUACCUUUCAAUUGGAUUGAUAAGCUCACACCGUCAUCUAUGCCCUCUACGAACCGUCAAGUAUAGUAGUAUCGUGUAUACCCCUAGUAUAGAUAAUAGUUAUUAACCGUCGAGUAUACUUACUUUAUUUCAACGGUUAUAUAUGUAUACUUGACGGUUUGCAACCGUCAAGUGUUAUAUAAUACAUGAUACUCAUAAUAUUUUUUCUUGACACUUUCUGAUUGUCAUGUAUAACAUAGAACAUAACGAUUCUUGGUAUUAUAUAUAUGUAGACUAUCAUGACGUUUAUACAAAUAUACUUGACACUUUUGAACCAUCAUAUAAGUGGGUAUACAUUACGUUUUGUAAUAUUUGACGGAAAAUGUGGUGCUGCAGUAGCAAUAAGAUUGAACGACAAAUAGAUUCAAGUGAAGAGAAGAUAUUUUCUUUCUCACUCUCUCUCACCUCUCUGUUUAUCACGUGCGUAAUAACCAAUGAGAAAAUGAAAAGGCAGAAAAGGAUCUAGGAUUAAGGAUUUUUUUUUUCUCACUCACGCUCUCACCUCUUCGGCCGUUGGAAAAAUCUUGGUAGUAGAAUUGUACAAACUGCAAGAAUACAAGUAGAUAUAAUUUGAUUUGAUGGAUGCCGUAACCUGUAAAAGAAUUUAAAUUGAAGAUUAUUGUGAGUUUUAUGCGAUUUGGUUAUAACUUUUUGAGACUUAUUUAUAGAGUCAAGGGUUUGACCAACUAAUAGUGUAUUUUAAAUAUAAAAUAAUUAAGAAUAUGACGUUAGUGUGUUUUUCUCUUCCGGUAACAAUCAUUUGGAAAAAAGAUAAAGAAAGACACUUCCCCUCUAAUUAAUCACUAGGUCGGGGAUUUUGUAUACCACCUACGGAGGUGGUAUACGUAAUACAAAUCUUAAUUAUAAUUAUUAUUAACUUUACAUAAUCUUAAUACAUCAUACCAAACAAACAUAUUAUAUUUUACAGAUUUUUUAAUACUUUCUACCAAUCAUGAUAUUAAUAUAACGUAUAGUAAAAGACAUCCUAGUCAAAUAUAUCUCACCUUAUCCCAUACCGUGUACCAAAGAAAAUAAAAUAUUUUAAAAUUAAUAACCUAUUCGUUUUAAAUUCAUUUUGAUAAUUUUUAUACCAUAUUAAAUAUUUUGACGAACUUAAACUUAAAAUGCACAUUGAAUUUUUUUUAUAAAUUAAAUUUGACAAUGUUUAGAAAAGAAUUAAUAUUAUAAAAAAAGAAAAAAAUAGUAAAAAAUUGAUGGAAGAAGAGAGAGAAAAAAAUGGAGGGAGAAAACUCUUCUUUUAUACUCCCUCCGUCUCACAAAAAUAUGAACAAAGAGAAAUGGCACAGGUCUUAAGAAAUGUUAGUUGAGAGUUAAAGUGAGUGGAAAAGGGAUCCCACUUUAAAAAGUGUUGUGAGAGUAAUGAAUUAAUUAAGAAAAGAUAGUGGUGGGCCAUAAUGGUUUUUUUGUAAAUAAGUGUAAAAAUGAGGGAUGAAAAAUAAGGGGAUAAUUUCCAAAAAUAGUAAUGUUCAUGUUUUUAUGAGACGACCCAAAAUGGAAAAACGUUCAUGUUUUUGUGAGACGGAUGGAGUAUAUUAUAUAGAUAUAGAUUGGAUUUAUAAAUAAAGCCAAUUUAAAUCAUAAAUGCUUUUAUUGCAAAAUGCAAAUGCAAUUUCAUUUCAUGCGUAACUCAUAUAAUAAGUAAUUAUACUUAAUAUAUGCACAUAAUAAUAUUAUUAUGUAAUUUAUCGUUUAGUAAAUUAAUUAGUCGAACCCAAAUUAGAUUCUACUUAAAUAAUACUCCCCCGUCCCACGAAUCUUGAUACGUUUUUCUUUUUGGGCCGUCCCACGAAUCUUGACACAUUUCCAAAUAAGAUAAUAAUUAGUACAUUUUCUCUCCUACUUUAUCACUUUUAUUACCUUCUCUCUCAUACUUUAUCACUUUUAUACUUUAUUAACUACACACUUAAAACACUAAUCUACAACUCUUUAAUUCCCGUGCCGAAACCAAACGUGUCAAGAUUCGUGGGACGAAGGGAGUAACUUAAACUUAAUUAAUAAAUUAAUAAAUAGGUACUCCUAAAUAAUUCGCAGCCCAAUUCAUUAUAUAAUAGGGCCCAAUAUCUUUUAAUAAAGCAGGCCCAAGCUGUCCUUAAAAUAUCAGCCUGCAGUUUUAAAAAAAAUCGGCCCAAAUUAAUAUUAAUGAAAGCCCAAGUUCGGCCGACAAGAGCAGCAUCUUAGUAAAUCGGUACAAAACAAAUCAGCAUAAAAUUUUCAGUAAAUUUUGUACCUUACUUCAGAUCUAAUCUCUCUUUCUUCACAUUAAAUCUCACCGCCGAUUAAGGAUGAUGGCCAGAAGAGCUGUCGUUUCUGCAAUUGAUCUCAUUCAUCGAAGAGGAUUUCUCAAUCGAUGGUCGCAUAAAUCGGGUAUUCUCUCUCCUCUGUUCUCUCUCUUCUCUUCCGAGGCUUUUCAACCUAAGCAGUCUAGAAUCGAUUUCAGUUGUGUUAAAGAAUUAGACGAUGUUAUUGAAUUGUUUCAUAAAAUAAAGAGUAUGCGGCAAGAGCCUUCUGUUCGCCUGUAUAACAAACUCAUGAGUGUUAGUGUAACGAUUGAGCAGUAUUAUAUUGCCCUUGAUGUGUUCGAUGAAAUGCUUAGGAUGGGUGUCUCGGUUGAUAUUUACACAAUGAGUAUUGCUGUCAACUGUUGUUGUCUCUUGAAAGAUAUAUAUUCUGCUUUUUCUAUAAUGGGAUUCUUUCUCAAGAGAGGUCACGAACCAAAUGUCGUGACUUUCGGCACUCUCAUAAAAGGGUUAUUCUUAGUUAAUAAGGAGGCUGAAGCCGUGAAACUGUUCGAAAAGAUUUUGGAUUUAAAACUUUGUGAGCCCAGUGGUGUUAUGAUUCUGCAUGUGAUUGAUGGGCUGUGCAAAACUGGACAGGUCAUUGAAGCCCAUGAUUGGCUUCAUAGAUUAGAAAGUAGUGGGUGGAGUCCCAACGUUUACGCUUAUAGUGCACUAAUUGAUGGAUUUUGCAAGGGCGGAAUGGUGGACAAUGCCUUCAAGGUUCUAACCAAAAUGGUUGGGAAGAGUAUUUUACCUGACAUUGUUGCUUAUAGUUCCAUUAUUAAUGCAUACUGUAAGGAAGAAAAGAUGGAUGCGGCUGAGAAUAUGUUGGAAAUUAUGAUGCAACAAAAUAUUUGUCCGGAUGUCUUCACUUAUUCUUCGCUUAUUGAAGGGCUCUGCUUGAAGGGUGAAAUCGAAAGAGCUAAACAGUUGCUUGAUUCCAUGGUAGAGAGGGGCCUUAAACCCGAUAUUGUUAACUAUAGCACCUUGCUAAAUGGAUAUUGCAAGAAGGGAAGCGUGGAUGAAGCUUGGCUUAUUUUUCUUGAAAUUCCCGAUAAAGGUCUCGAGCAUGAUGUGCACACUUAUAAUAUCAUGAUACAUGGAUUAUUCAGAAAUGAUAGAUUUGCUGAGGGCUGGAAGCUUUUCGAGGUUAUGAAAGCUCAACAAAUACAUCCCAACGUGCAUAUUUAUAAUACAUUAUUGGAUGGGUUGUCGAAGCGUGGGAAGGUUGAUGAAGCUCUGCAGCUGCUGUCCGAGAUGGUGGAGAAGGGCAUCUCGCCUAAUGUUGUCACAUGCAGCAUAUUGAUAGAUGGAUAUUGCUCGCAUGGCGAGAUGGUUAGAGCUAGAGAGCUCUUCUAUUCUAUGGCAGAGACGGGGGUCAAUCACAAUAUAUUCACCUAUUGUAUCUUGAUUAAGGGAUACUGCAGGCGGGAAACCUUGAUGAAGCGUGGCGUUUCUUCGAUGAAAUUUCGCAUGUGGGUGUCAAACGGUCGACCGUGUCAUACACCACGAUGAUGCAUGGGCUAAUACGCCAAAGUAGUUUUUCAGACGGGUUGAAGCUUUUCCAUGAUAUGGAAGCUCAGAAUCUAGAUCCAAAUCUCUACACCUACAACAUCUUGUUGGAUGGCUUGUGUCGGAUACGUCGGAUCGAUGAGGCGUUUGCGGUUUUGACGGUGAUGGAGGCGAGAGGCGUGAGACCUGAUAUUGUAUCGUAUGGUGUUCUGAUCAACAGCUUAUGCAAGGGCGGAAGACUUGAUGAUGCUACGAGGCUCUUCAACCAUCUCCCUUCCAAGGGCUUGAAACCNAGUAUGCGGCAAGAGCCUUCUGUUCUCCUGUAUAACAAACUCAUGAGUGUUAGUGUAACGAUUGAGCAGUAUUAUGUUGCCCUUUAUGUGUUCGAUGAAAUGCUUAGGAUGGGUGUCCCGGUUAAUGAUUGACACAAGGAAUAUUGCUGUCAACUGUUGUUGUCUCUUGAAGAUAUAUACUCUAGCUUUUUCUAUAAUGGGAUUCUUUCUCAAGAGAGGUCACGAACCAGAUGUCGUGACUUUCGGCACUCUCAUAAAAGGGUUGUUCUUAGUUAAUAAGGAGGCUGAAGCCAUGAAAUUGUUCGAAAAGAUUGUGGAUUUAGAACUUUGUGAGCCCAGUGAUGUUAUGAUUCUGCAUGUGAUUGAUGGGAUGUGCAAAGCUGGACAGGUCAUUGAAGCCCAUGAUUGGCUUCAUAGAUUAGAAAGUAGUGGGUGGAGUCCCAACGUUAAGGUUUAUAGUGCACUAAUUGAUGGAUUUUGCAAAGGCGGAAUGGUGGACAAUGCCUUCAAGGUUCUAUCCAAAAUGGUUGGGAAUGGUAUUUUACCUGACGUUGUCACUUAUAGUUCCAUUAUUAAUGCAUACUGUAAGGAAGAAAAGAUGGAAGAGGCUGAGAAUAUGCUGGAAAUUAUGAUGCAACAACAUAUUUGUUCCGAUGUCUUCGCUUAUUGAAGGGCUCUGCCUGAAGGGUGAAAUUGGAAGAGCGAAACAGUUACUUGAUUCCAUGGUAGAGAGGGGCCUUAAACCCGAUAUUGUUAACUAUAACACCUUGCUAAAUGGAUAUUGCAAGAAGGGAAGCGUGGAUGAAGCUUGGCUUAUUUUUCUUGAAAUUUCCGAUAAAGGUCUCGAGCAUAAUGUGCAAACUUAUAGUACAUUAUUGGAUGGGUUGUUGAAGCGUGGGAUGGUUGAUGAAGCUCUGCUUCUGCUGUCCGAGAUGGUGGAGAAGGGUAUCUCGCCUAAUGUUGUCACAUGCAGCACAUUGAUCGAUGGAUAUUGCUCGCUUGGCGAGAUGGUUAGAGCUAGAGAGCUCUUCAAUUCUAUGGCAAAGACGGGGAUCAAGCACAAUAUAUUCACCUACGAUAUCUUGAUUAAGGGAUACUGCAAGGCAGGAAACCUUGAUGAAGCGUGGCGUUUCUUCGAUGAAAUCUCGCGUGUAGGUCUCAAACACUCGACCGUGUCAUACAACACGAUGAUGCACGGGCUAAUACGCCAAAGUAGUUUUUCAGACGGGUUGAAGCUUUUCCACGAUAUGGAAGCUCAGAAUCUACAUCCGAAUCUCUACACCUACAACAUCUUGUUGGAUGGCUUGUGUCGGAUACGUCGGAUUGAUGAGGCGUUUGCGGUUUUGACGGUGAUGGAGGCGAGAGGCGUGAAACCUGAUAUCGUAUCGUAUGGUGUUCUGAUCAACAGCUUAUGCAAGGGCGGAAGACUUGAUGAUGCUACGAGGCUCUUCAACCAUCUCCCUUCCAAGGGCUUGAAACCUAGCGUACAAAUCUACAACAUGAUGCUCGACUCCCUCUACCAUGAAGGGCGCGAAGGGGAGGCGAGGAUGUUGAUGGAUGGAGAUGGAGAGGAGCGGCUGCGCGCCUAAUUUCGUGACGUUCAAUAUUAUUGUGUGGAAUCUGGUGAAGAGCAAAAGGUUCCAUGAGGCAAUUCCUUUCUUGGAGG
rnacentral:lncRNA from 1 species